AGAGUUUGAUCAUGGCUCAGGACGAACGCUGGCGGCGUGCCUAAUCUAUGCAAGUCAAUCCCCCCGAUUUAUCGGGGAGAGGCAGACGAGUGAGUAACGCGUAGGAACCAACCCUCGAUUCGACCAUAUCCAUGCGAAAGUAUGAGUAAUAGUCGAUAGUCUUUUCUGUUGGUAGCAGAAAAAGUAAAGCUUUUGCGAUCGAGGACGGGCCUGCGUCCUAUCAGUUAGUUGGUAGGGUAAUUGCCUACCAAGACUAUGACGGGUAGGGGGCGUGAGAGCGUGACCCCCCACGAUGGCACUGAGAUACGGGCCAUACAUCUACGGAUGGCAGCAAGUAGGAAUAUUGCGCAAUGGACGAAAGUCUGACGCAGCGACGCCGCGUGUAGGAAGAAGCAUUUCGGUGUGUA
rnacentral:rRNA from 1 species